rnacentral:rRNA from 1 species
CGGAUCGCAGGCUGCAACCCGCCUGCGUGAAGUCGGAAUCGCUAGUAAUCGCGGAUCAGCAUGCCGCGGUGAAUACGUUCCCGGGCCUUGUACACACCGCCCGUCACACCAUGAGAGUUGGCAACACCCGAAGUCGGUAGUCUAACCGCAAGGAGGACGCCGCCGAAGGUGGGGUUGAUGAUUAGGGUUAAGUCGUAACAAGGUAUC